CCCCGCGCCCUGGUCCGCUGGAGGGGCUACGCGCACCGUGCCGCCUCGCCCUGCGAAUCCCAGGGACCCCAGUGCGGUAUAAGCGCGGGAAGCAGGCGAGGGACCCGUUAGACGUGGAGUGGGGACGGAGUGGGGGGCGACAGACUGGGCUGGGAAAUUGCUAACCUGUCCCCGGAGACUGCUUUCUGAGAGCCCUGUCCCUUCCCCGGAAGAGGCCAAUUCCAGAGGGAGGUGAGUUUCCAAAGGAACCCUAGCCCAGAGGCGUCACCCUAGCCACUCAGUGACAGAACCCGGGACCCUGUGCAGAGGGGUCGGUAGUUGGGCGAGGUAGUCAAAGUGCUAUGGGGCGUGAAAAGACCGCUUCCUAAGAGCUGGGGUACAGAAAAAGGAGCUGGGGGAAGUAGGUGAGAAGAGAGACCACGUGGGUCCCUCAGCGCCUGCGUCGGGUGGCUGAGCCGGGCGCGGGUUGGAUUUGGGGGACAGUGCCCUCCACGUAGGGGAAGGCUCGUGGUCUCAGGAUCCGGGGUGAGGAAAGGCAGGUCUGAGGUGCCUGACUUGGUGUUGAGGACCGCGACUCCUUCCUCUUUCCCCCCAAAUCCCUUAGAUGACAGCAGGCGCCCGCCCCGGACAAUCUGAUUCUGGGCAGGGCGCAGCGGGGCUGGCAGGCGCCCGGGGAGGCAGGGAAGUUGCUUCCAAGGACUGGCCGCCCUCAACCUCCUUUAACACACAGCCGGGUGCAGCAGGGCAGCGGCGGACAUUUGUUUCCCAACUCUGGUCAAUGUGAAAGCAGCAACCCGUGCGUCCUGGACCCCAAGGUGGCUGUGUACCGUCGAGGUUUCUAACACUGCUUCCUUGGCAAAAGCGAUAACAAUACCGUGUAUCGGGAUGAGACUAAAGCCAGACGGCAACAACACAGCACACUUUCCCGGGCAGCGCCAGUGCGAGGUGCUUUGAAAGCACACGAGGCAACCCCGGAGGCCGAAGUGGAAGGGUCUCGCCCCGUGGGGCUGCUACCCUGUCUCAUCAUCGCUCCUUGGAGCCCUCCACUGACGGAGCAGGCCCUAUGGUGCCUUGCUCACCAGAAGGAGAAUCCGGCAAACAAGUUCACUGAGCUUCUGAAAAUGUCUCUGAUCUGUCCUUUAAAAAAUUGUCAUUUUUGUCAGUCAUGAAUCAUACUUUGAUAGAAAGAUGAGCUCACCUCUUAUCUUACAGCCCAGAAUUCCACUCAAAUCAUUUAAUUUAUCAAAUGGUCAAGCCAAAGUCCUUCCUUUUGUCAGGGACAUGCGCACUCUGGAAUUUGUCUAUGUCAGCCUGUGUGUCUCUCAAGAAACAAGGAUGUCUAGUGCAGCAGAACCUAAAUUUAUACGGAUGAAAAACAAAAACCUCUCAAGUAGAUUACUUAGAAUUGGUGAUGAGAACAAGUCCUCGUAUCUCCAUCCUCAGUGUUCCAGGUCUCAGCGUUCUUCUUAGAGAAACACCACCCCAUGCCCCAAGCCUGCAAGUCACCCCAUCCCUGCACUAGUGCUUCAGUCCAUCUCAGAGGCACACAGCCCUUGAUUGCUGAAGCAGUACAUGGCAGGGCCAAUGGAUUCCUUCGUGUGAAUCGAUGUCAAUGCAAGAUCGCAGGAUGAUUCAUCAGACAUUUUCUGAGUCCUUGGGCUACCUCCCCAAGGCUUUGUGGGCAGAAGAAACAAACUCAGAGCUGGAAUAUGUAUCAAUCCCAGGAAAGACAAAUUGCUGUCCCUUCCAGAGCAGAAAAAAUCACAUGUAUUCAACUUGUCAUCAAGAAGCUGGAAGUGUAAAUAAGGAUGAAAAUGAUUAAAAUGAAUAAUUGAUAAUUUGAA
ensembl:lncRNA